rnacentral:rRNA from 1 species
GACGGAAGGUGCAAGCGUGGCUCGGAAUCACUGGGCGUAAAGGGCUCGUAGGCGGCCAACUAAGUCGGACGUGAAAUCCCCAGGCUCAACCUGGGAACUGCGUCCGAGACUGGGAGGCUAGAAUCCGGGAGAGGGAUGUGGAAUUCCAGGUGUAGCGGUGAAAUGCGUAGAUAUCGGAAGGAACACCAGUGGCGAAAGCGGCUUCCUGGUCCAGCACCGACGUUCAGGCACGAAAGCGUGGGGAGCAAACAGG